UCAGACGAUGCGUCAUGCAUAUCAAUAAGGGAGGAAAAGAAACUAACAAGGAUUCCCCUAGUAACGGCGAGUGAAGCGGGAAGAGCCUCAAAUUUGAAAUCUUAAAGGGUUUCCCUUUACGAAUUGUAGUUUAAAGAAGUGUUUUCUGUUGAGGUUUUGGUAGAAGUUCUUUGGAAUAGGACAUCAUAGAGGGUGAGAAUCCCGUAUUUGACCUUUACUUUCAACUUUGUGAUACACUUUCAAAGAGUCGGAUUGUUUGGGAAUGCAGUCCAAAAUGGGUGGUAAAUUUCAUCUAAAGCUAAAUAUUGGCGAGAGACCGAUAGCGAACAAGUACCGUGAGGGAAAGAUGAAAAGAACUUUGAAAAGAGAGUUAAACAGUACGUGAAAUUGUCAAAAGGGAAGCGUUUGACACCAGUGUUGUUUUUUCUGAAAAUCAAUUAAAGAACUGUUUAUGCUAAGUUGUUUAGACUUUAUCAGCUAACUGUUUAGUUUUGAGCUUUUCUUUAAUGCACUUUUCAGUUAACAAGUCAACAUCAAUUUCUUUUGCUGUAAAAAAGCUUGAGGAAGGUGGCUUGAGAUUCGUCUUAAGUGUUUAUAGCCUCUUGCCUAUGCAGUCGGAGAGAUUGAGGUCUGCAGCGUAGAUCCUUCGGGGCUAAAUGCAUUUGUGCUAAGUUAUAGCAUUUUAUAGACAACUUGUUGACUAUGAUUUGUCUUGUAGCUUACUCGCUUAUGUUAUUUUACCUACGCUUAGGAUGUUGAGCGCAUGUCUCUCUCU
rnacentral:rRNA from 1 species